ACAUGGCCUUGGGUGAGUUGCUGAUAGUCUUAGCCUCAGUUUCCACAUCUCUGAAAUGGGCAGAAUAAUAGUUGCCUUGAAGUGACAGUGUGGGGCUGUGUAUAAAAGCCCAGGGUAGAUGCUCAGGAAAUGUUAUCCUCUCUUUCAUCUCCUUCUUUUCCCUCCCUUUCUUCCCUCCCUCCCUCCCUUUUUGGAGUAUGUUUUCAGAGGAGGAGGCAUGGGGGAGAAUAGUAAAUUAUUUGAAGAUCUGGGGAAAUAGGAAAGCUUGAACAACUGAAAAAUGUUUCUUGGAGUGUGGUUUCAGGACACUCCCGUUUGAGGUACCAGAAGUGCUUAUGUCAAAUGCAGGGUUCUGAAACCAAGCCCUGGGGGCACGCCUUGGGAAUCUGUAUUUUAAAGUGACAGGUAUCCCAGACGCUGUUGAGCGCUUGCAAAUGGCCAUUGCCUUUCUUUCUUCAGACAAGAAUCCUAGUUUUGUUCACUCCUCCUGAUAAAAAAGAAACUCAAGGGUAAAUCCUGAUUGGUCUAAACAAAUCAAUAAUCCCCUAGACCCCCUGCCAGUGCCGGUUUAGUGAAGGGCCAGAGACCGAGUCUUGACCAGUGAAAUGUGAGAGAACGUCUGCUCUGCGGGUGGGUGGGGGGAGGCUUCUUUGUUCUUUGCAAGUCACUGCUGUGGUUUAAAUGUUUGUGUCCCUUCCAAAAUUCAUGUUGAAAUGUAAAUCCCAAUGCAGUGGUAUUAAGAGGUGAUUAGGCCAUGAUUAAGAGGAUUAGACCAUCCUUGUAAAUAAAUUAAUGCCCUUGUAAAGGAGGCUUCAUACUUCAUUCACUCCUUUUUGACCUUUCAUCUCUUCUGCCCUGUGAGGACACAGCAUUCGUCCCCUCCAGAGGACACAGCACCAAGGCGCCAUCUUGGAACUAGAGUGGAGCUUUCACCAGACUGGAACCCGUGGGUGUGUUGAUCUUGUGCUUCCUGACCUCCAGAACUGCCAGAAGGAGCUCACUGCAGACUCUCCUGCUGAAUUUAUUCUUACCUGCUUCUGGGGAGCCAAGGUCAGAGUUAUAAAUUCUUCUUUAAAAACACCAGCAUCAUCUCCACCAGUCCCUUAUGGUCCAAAGAUGAAAUGCACACUGGUCAAACCAGAAGAGUGGCCAGUAGCACUUCCCAGUUUCUUCACUUUCUUCACUUUGGGAUAAUUAUUGAAAAUAAAAGCUUGUUCUUUCCAUAAAAAGCUCGUGCCCAAUCUGCUUCACUGUUUAGCAGCUGAAAUUAUUGCAAGGUUUGUGUUCACUUUUGGGUCAUAACCUCUUAUCACAUUUCCCUGGACUUCUCUAUGUGUGACGUCUUUUCACUUCUUGUGUGCAAAAGUCAGCAUUUUAAAGACUAGUAAUGGCACAUUCCCUCCCUCCCCUCUCCACCCUGAAUGCCAACCAGCAUGAGGGCUCAUCUGCCUUGAAUUCUGCAGCUUAGUCACGGCCUCUAGUGAGAAAUACGAGACUAAGCUAUGGCCUUGGGAGUGGGCCACAGUCCUCUGUUUCAAG
rnacentral:lncRNA from 1 species